rnacentral:rRNA from 1 species
UACGUAGGGUGCGAGCGUUGUCCGGAAUUAUUGGGCGUAAAGAGCUCGUAGGCGGUUUGUCGCGUCUGCUGUGAAAUUUCGGGGCUCAACCCCGAACUUGCAGUGGGUACGGGCAGACUAGAGUGUGGUAGGGGAGACUGGAAUUCCUGGUGUAGCGGUGAAAUGCGCAGAUAUCAGGAGGAACACCGAUGGCGAAGGCAGGUCUCUGGGCCAUAACUGACGCUGAGAAGCGAAAGCAUGGGGAGCGAACAGG